rnacentral:rRNA from 1 species
AUUGAACGCUGGCGGCAGGCUUAACACAUGCAAGUCGAGCGGGGGAAGGUAGCUUGCUACUGGACCUAGCGGCGGACGGGUGAGUAAUGCUUAGGAAUCUGCCUAUUAGUGGGGGACAACAUCUCGAAAGGGAUGCUAAUACCGCAUACGUCCUACGGGAGAAAGCAGGGGAUCUUCGGACCUUGCGCUAAUAGAAGAGCCUAAGUCGGAUUAGCUAGUUGGUGGGGUAAAGGCCUACCAAGGCGACGAUCUGUAGCGGGUCUGAGAGGAUGGACCGCCACACUGGGACUGAGACACGGCCCAGACUCCUACGGGAGGCAGCAGUGGGGAAUAUUGGACAAUGGGGGGAACCCUGAUCCAGCCAUGCCGCGUGUGUGAAGAAGGCCUUAUGGUUGUAAAGCACUUUAAGCGAGGAGGAGGCUACUCUAGUUAAUACCUAGGGAUAGUGGACGUUACUCGCAGAAUAAGCACCGGCUAACUCUGUGCCAGCAGCCGCCGUAA